rnacentral:misc_RNA from 1 species
CAUUUAAAUUUGGUCAAGAACUUUUUGAGUUAUCAUUAAUAAUGCGUAUUUACUUGACUAUUCUGUCGUUUACCUUCGUUGCGAACACAAUUAUAAUAAAAAUAAAACAGUGUCAACCCUAAGUACGAAUGCUAUAAUAUCCAUUAAAAAUAUAACCUCAUAAACGCGGGCGCGUGCACAGAUUUUUAUUUAUUUAUUUACGACAACACUUUACAUAAAAAUUAAGUUUUUAUUUUAAUUUAAAUUUAUGCAUAUACUCUCGUACUAUUUUGUAUUUAUGUUGUUUAAAUUUAUACUAUGCAGUUAUACUCCAUUGAGAAAGAGGCCUAUGCCCAGCAGUGGGAUGCUACAGGUUGAAAGCUAUGAAUGCGAUAAUAUUUAUAAUAAACCUUAAACACUUAUACUCUCCGAGUGGUCUGUUUUACUUUGCUCAGAGAAAGUCUAUCAGUAACUUAUUAGCUAGAUAAACUGUAUCAGGAAGUGGAUUAGGUUUUUAAUUAAAAAAAA